GGAUCCCGCCUCCUCUGGAUCCCCAUGAUCCUUCUCUCCUUGGAUCCCACUUCCCCUGGAUCCUCAUCCCUGGAUUCCAGAUCCUUUUUCCCCUGGGUCCCACCUUCCCACCUCUCCUGGAUCCUGGACCCUUCCCUCCUUGGAUCCCGUCUCUCCUGGAUCCCUUUUUCCCUGGAUCUUUUCUUCCCUAGAUCCUGAUCCCUGGAUCCUGGACCCCGCACCAUCCCUGGAUCUUGUUUUCCCUUGAUCCCACUCCUUUGGAUCCAGGAUCCCGCCUCCCCCGGAUCCCAUCCUGCUCUGGAUCCUUUUCUCCCUGGAUUCUGUCCUGCUCUGGAUCCUGGAUCCGGCACUACCCCUGGAUCCUGGAUCCUUCUCUCCCUGGAUCUCACCUCCCCUGGAUCCUGGAUCCUACAGGGUCCUUUUCCCCCUGGAUCUUGUCCUCCCUUGAUCCUGAUCUCUGGAUCCUGAAUUCUUCCCUUCCCUGGAUCCCACCUCCCCUGGAUCCUUCUCUCCCCAGAUCUUGUCCUCUCUGGAUCCUGAAUUCUGGAUCUUUUUCUCUCUGGAUCCUGAUCCUUCCCUCCCUGGAUUCUGGAUCCUUUUCCCCACUGGAUCCUUUUCCCCACUGGAUCCUGAUCCUUCCCUCCCUGGAUCCUGGAUCCUUUCUCCCCUGGAUCCCCCCACUGGAUCCCAGCCCCCUCUCCAGCUCUCCCAGAUUUCCCCAUCAGAUCCCGCCUGGAUCCCCCCAGAUCCCUCAGGAUCCCCCGGGAUCCCCCCUCUCACCUUGGCUCCCGCGGCUGCGGCCGCUUUGGCCUCGGCCCCGAGGCGCUCGAACACCGAGGGACGGCCCAGACCUGCCGAGGUUGGGGAGAAAUUCAGGGAUUUUGGGAAAAAAUGGCGGAUUUAGGAUCCAGGAAGGGAAUCUUGGGAUCGAGAAGGGGAAAUUGGGGAUCCAGGAGGGGAAAUUGGGAUCUGGGAGGGAGAAUUUAGAAUCCAGGAAGAGAAACUGGGGAUCCAGGAGAGAAAAUUCAGGAUCCAGCAGGGGAAAUUGGGGAUCCAAGAGAGGGAAGCUCAGGAUCCAUCAGGGAAACCCGGGGUCCGGGAGGGGAAAUUGGGGAUCCAAGAGGGGAAAUUGGGGAUCCAGGAGGGGAAAUUGGGAUCUGGGAGGGGAAAUUGGGGAUCCAGGGAGAGAACUUUGAGGAUCCCAAAAGGGAAAUUUGGAGAUCUAUCAGGGGAAAUAAGGAUCCAUCAGGGAAAACUCAGGAUCCACCAGGGACCCCCGGGAUCCACCAGGGACCCCCAGGAUUGACCAGGGACCCCCGGGAUCGAUCAGGGACCCCCGAGACCCACCAGGGACCCCCAGGAUCCACCAGGGACCCCCGGGAUCCACCAGGGAGCCCCGGGCCCCGCCGUGCCGUACCUCGGGCGGCGUGCAGGCGCAGGAUGUGGCGGCUGCGGGCCGUGGUGCCCUUGGGCAGCGAGAUCACGUACUUGCCCUCGGCCUCGGCCGUCACCCGGCGCCGCCUGGGCAGCGCCGGCGCGGCCUCGGCAC
rnacentral:lncRNA from 1 species